GGAAAAUACCUUGUGGACUGAUGAGUCAAAAGUUGAACUUUUUGGAAGGCAAAUGUCCCGUUACAUCUGGCGUAAAAGGAACACAGCAUUUCAGAAAAAGAACAUCAUACCAACAGUAAAAUAUGGUGGUGGUAGUGUGAUGGUCUGGGGUUGUUUUGCUGCUUCAGGACCUGGAAGGCUUGCUGUGAUAGAUGGAACCAUGAAUUCUACUGUCUACCAAAAAAUCCUGAAGGAGAAUGUCCGGCCAUCUGUUCGUCAACUCAAGCUGAAGCGAUCUUGGGUGCUGCAACAGGACAAUGACCCAAAACACACCAGCAAAUCCACCUCUGAAUGGCUGAAGAAAAACAAAAUGAAGACUUUGGAGUGGCCUAGUCAAAGUCCUGACCUGAAUCCAAUUGAGAUGCUAUGGCAUGACCUUAAAAAGGCGGUUCAUGCUAGAAAACCCUCAAAUAAAGCUGAAUUACAACAAUUUUGCAAAGAUGAGUGGGCCAAAAUUCCUCCAGAGUGCUGUAAAAGACUCAUUGCAAGUUAUCGCAAACGCUUGAUUGCAGUUAUUGCUGCUAAGGGUGGCCCAACCAGUUAUUAGGUUCAGGGGGCAAUUACUUUUUCACACAGGGCCAUGUAGGUUUGGAUUUUUUUUCUCCCUAAAUAAUAAAAAACAUCAUUUAAAAACUG